AAACAUCAGCUGUCUCCCGUUUUCCGAAAGUUCGCCGACCAGUUUUGCUUCCAAACUGAAGAAAGAACUACAGUUUAACUUCACCAGGCACAAUCAUCAGAAUGAGAUGCAGGAAAAUAUUAACCCAGAGUUCUGGGAGGGAACGACUGGUAACUUUAAGGGUAUAUAUGAAGACAAAAACACCCACAGCAAUGGGGUAACUAACAUAAAGCUCGCCGGUGACAAGGUGAUAGUCGCACGGUUGAGUGGACGAAUUCAUUCUCUGAGACUGGAAACGUACACGCAAGGUUGUCAGAUCGAUUGGGGAUUUACGUCUGCAUAUGGGCGAACUCACGUACGCACCGGUUCGGCAGGAAGCAUUAGUUUAUUUCAGCAAUCCGUCCACAACGUUACCAGCUCAACAUAACGUAUUCGAGGAGGAGCUUCGAUGUAUCCUGGAGUUUCACCAGCAGGGUCACCGGUGACAUGUUUGGAAGUGGCGGGCGGUACAGUCAUGACUGGCAGCCAGGGCCACACUGUUAAAGUGUUCCGACUCGAUAGCCACCUAUUGCAGUUCACCCUAAACGGCCACUGCGGUCCUAUCACAUGUAUUUUCAUAGACCAGUGGCAGGCCGAGAUGGGCGCAUCUGGUCGCCAAGAUGAUGUGCUAUGUGUGUGGAACUUGAACUAGAACAGCUCCUACAAGACAAUGGUUACGAGAGUGUUCAGCAGGCCGUUGGUAAGGGAGUGGAUAAUUUUUAUAGUGUCGAUUGUUGAUAACAGGGUCAUUUAAUGGCGCCGCAGUUAAAUAUAGAAAGUUACUAAAUACAUUUUGAUAAUAAACAAGACUUCUAUUUACAUUGCUUUCAAUCAGAUAAUUUAUGUUAGAACUUGCUUUUCCUCUUCUAUUUUCCCAUUACCGCCUCCAGCGAACGCGUGGAUGCUUUCGGUCGCGGUAGAAUCCUUAAUUUUUCCUUUUCGCAUGCUACCAUUCCUUGACCUG